AGUGAACGCUGGCGGUAGGCCUAACACAUGCAAGUCGAACGGCAGCACAGUAAGAGCUUGCUCUUACGGGUGGCGAGUGGCGGACGUGUGAGGAAUACAUCGUAAUCUACUUUUUCGUGGGGGAUAACGUAGGUAAACUUACGCUAAUACCGCAUACGACGUACGGGUGAAAGCAGGGGAUCUUCGGACCUUGCGCGAAUGAAUGAGCCGAUGUCGGAUUAGCUAGUUGGCGGGGUAAAGGCCCACCAAGGCGACGAUCCGUAGCUGGUCUGAGAGGAUGAUCGCCCACACGGGAACUGAGACACGGUCCAGACUCCUACGGGAGGCAGCAGUGGGGAAUAUUGGACAGUGGGCGCAAGCCUGAUCCAGCCAUACCGCGUGGGUGAAGAAGGCCUUCGGGUUGUAAAGCCCUUUUGUUGGGAAAGAAAAGCAGCAGGUUAAUACCACGCUGUUCUGACGGUACCCAAAGAAUAAGCACCGGCUAACUUCGUG
rnacentral:rRNA from 1 species